CCUACGGGCGGCUGCAGUGGGGAAUAUUGCACAAUGGGCGCAAGCCUGAUGCAGCCAUGCCGCGUGUGUGAAGAAGGCUUUCGGGUUGUAAAGCACUUUCAGCGGGGAGGAAGGCGGUGAGGUUAAUAACCUCAUCGAUUGACGUUACCCGCAGAAGAAGCACCGGCUAACUCCGUGCCAGCAGCCGCGGUAAUACGGAGGGUGCAAGCGUUAAUCGGAAUUACUGGGCGUAAAGCGCACGCAGGCGGUAUGUCAAGUCGGAUGUGAAAUCCCCGGGCUCAACCUGGGAACUGCAUUCGAAACUGGCAGGCUAGGGUCUUGUAGAGGGGGGUAGAAUUCCAGGGGUAGCGGUGAAAUGCGUAGAGAUCUGGAGGAAUACCGGUGGCGAAGGCGGCCCCCUGGACAAAGACUGACGCUCAGGUGCGAAAGCGUGGGGAGCAAACAGGAUUAGAUACCCGAGUAGUC
rnacentral:rRNA from 1 species